AUUGAACGCUGGCGGCAGGCCUAACACAUGCAAGUCGAACGAGUGGCGGACGGGUGAGUAAUGUCUGGGAAACUGCCCGAUGGAGGGGGAUAACUACUGGAAACGGUAGCUAAUACCGCAUACCAUCGGAUGUGCCCAGAUGGGAUUAGCUUGUAGGUGAGGUAACGGCUCACCUAGGCGACGAUCCCUAGCUGGUCUGAGAGGAUGACCAGCCACACGGGAACUGAGACACGGGCCAGAUCCGUACGUGGGGGAGGAGGGUGGAAGAUGGCAGAAGGGGCGCAAGCGUGUGGCAGCCAUGCGGCGUGUAUGAAGAAGGCGUUGGGUUUGUAAAGUACUUUAAGCGGGGAGGCGUUACCCGCAGAAGAAGAACCGGCUAACUCCGUGCCAGCAGCCGUGGUAAUC
rnacentral:rRNA from 1 species